rnacentral:rRNA from 1 species
CUAAAUACUACCUGAUGACCGAUAGAGGAGCAGUACCGUGAGGGAAAGGUGAAAAGGACCCCGGGAGGGGAGUGAAAUAGAACCUGAAACCUUGUGCUUACAAGCAGUUAGAGCACAUUUAAGUGUGAUAGCGUACUUUUUGUAGAACGGUCCGGCGAGUUAUUGUUGCUGGCUUGCUUAAGGUAUUCAGUACCGAAGGCGUAGGGAAACCGAGUGUUAAUAGCGCGAUGAAUUGGUCAGCAGCAUUAGACCCGAAACCGGGUGACCUAGCCAUGAGCAGGCUGAAGUGGAGGUAAAACUCCAUGGAGGGCCGAACCCACUCCCGUUGAAAUGGUAGGGGAUGACUUGUGGCUAGCGGAGAAAUUCCAAUCGAACCCGGAGAUAGCUGGUUCUCUCCGAAAUAGCUUUAGGGCUAGCCUCAAUUAACAUUACCGCAGGUAAAGCACUGAAUGGGCUAGGGGGCGAAAGCUUACUGAACCCUAUCAAACUAAGAAUGGCGGAUAAUGAAUAAUUGGGAGUCACACUACGUGAGAUAAGUUUCGUGGUGGAAAGGGAAACAGCCCAGACCCACAGCUAAGGUCCCAAAGUACAGUUAAGUGGAAAAGGAUGUGAAGUUGCGCAGACAACCAGGAUGUUGGCUCAGAAGCAGCCACUCAUUCAAAGAGUGCGUAAUAGCUCACUGGUCGAGUGAUUUUGCGCCGAAAAUUUAACGGGGCUAAACUGUACACCGAAGCUUGGGAAUAUACCUUAUGGUAUGUUGGUAGGAGAGCGUCGUAUGCGGGGUGAAGUCGUAGCGAAAGCGGCGGUGGACUGCAUAGGAGUGAGAAUGCCGGAAUGAGUAGCGAGAAUUAUGUGAGAAUCAUAAUGGCCGAAAGACUAAGGUUUUAGAAGGAAGGUUCGUCCGCUUCUAGUUAGCCGGGAGCUAAGGCGAGGCCGAAAGGCGUAGUCGAUGCACAUACGGUUGAGAUUCCGUAGCCACCUUAAAUUUAAACUAAGGGACACAUUGAAAGGGAAUAACCCAGGCGUUGGUUGACCUGGGCGUAAGGGAACGAAAAUAAGUAGUGAAGUAUUCUUGGACAGUGGCGAGAAAAGCUUAGUGUAUAUUAUUAGGGUGCCCGUACUGCAAACCGACACAGGUAGUCAGGAAGAGAAUUCUAAGGCCAUCGGGAGAAGCGUUGUUAAGGAACUCGGCAAAUUGACCCCGUAACUUCGGAAUAAGGGGUGCUCACGAGAGUGAGCCGCAGAGAAUAGGUCCAGGCAACUGUUUAUCAAAAACACAGCUCUCUGCUAAAUCGAAAGAUGACGUAUAUGGGGUGACACCUGCCCGGUGCUGGAAGGUUAAGAGGAGGAGUGCAAGCCCCGAAUCGAAGCCCCAGUAAACGGCGGCCGUAACUAUAACGGUCCUAAGGUAGCGAAAUUCCUUGUCGGGUAAGUUCCG